GACAGAGGUGCCAAGCGUUAGGCGGAAUCACUGGGCUUAAAGCGUGUGUAGGUGGAUUUGUAAGUACCUUGUGAAAUCCCAUGGCUCAACCAUGGAACUGCUCGGUAUACUGCGAAUCUUGAGCCACUUAGGGGCUACCGGAACAAAUGGUGGAGCGGUGAAAUGCGUAGAUAUCAUUUGGAACGCCAAUGGUGAAAACAGGUAGCUGGGAGUGUGCUGACACUGAGACACGAAAGCCAGGGGAGCGAAUGGG
rnacentral:rRNA from 1 species